UACGUAGGGUGCAAGCGUUGUCCGGAAUUAUUGGGCGUAAAGAGCUCGUAGGCGGUCUGUCGCGCCGGCUGUGAAAACCCGGGGCUCAACCCCGGGCCUGCAGUCGAUACGGGCAGACUAGAGUGCGGUAGGGGAGACUGGAAUUCCUGGUGUAGCGGUGAAAUGCGCAGAUAUCAGGAGGAACACCGGUGGCGAAGGCGGGUCUCUGGGCCGUAACUGACGCUGAGGAGCGAAAGCGUGGGGAGCAAACAGG
rnacentral:rRNA from 1 species